UACGUAGGGGGCAAGCGUUAUCCGGAUUUACUGGGUGUAAAGGGAGCGUAGGCGGGUUGUUAAGUCAGUUGUGAAAGUUUGCGGCUCAACCGUAAAAUUGCAGUUGAUACUGGCAUCCUUGAGUACAGUAGAGGUAGGCGGAAUUCGUGGUGUAGCGGUGAAAUGCUUAGAUAUCACGAAGAACUCCGAUUGCGAAGGCAGCCUGCUGGACUGUAACUGACGCUGAUGCUCGAAAGUGUGGGUAUCAAACAGG
rnacentral:rRNA from 1 species